UGGCUCCGGCUUAAGUUCUUUCCUUUCUUUCUCAUUGCACGGUGCGGUUCCCCAGGUCUCCUCUUCCGUCUUUUGCGCACUAUUCGAUAGUAGAGGAACAAAGUGAUAAAGUUUCUGGUUAAGUCUUUUUUUCCCUUUUUAUUACAACUUUUUUUUAUUUCCAUGCUACACUUUAAGGACACGCGUCGGCAUAAUUAUUGGACAACAGUUAAAGGAAAACAAGAAGAAAGUAACUCCUGUUGUGUUAUGUCUGCAAGGAGUCACAAGAAAUUGUUACUGAUUGCUAACAGGGAGGUGAUCUUGGGCCAGGGAAGAAGAAACACUUUUCAUUCUAUAAGCUUUGUUACGGUGAAGAAAUUGAGAUUCAGAGACAUUAAAUGCCCAAAACAACUAGGAUGGAACUCAGGUUGGUCUGGGUUGUCUCAUUAAAUACAGCUUAUAAACCCAAAGCCUAGAGUGGUCUGGUAGAGAAUAAAAGAAUGAGAAGACAG